CCUACGGGAGACUGCAGUGAGGAAUAUUGGUCAAUGGGCUUACGCCUGAACCAGCCAAGUCGCGUGAGGGAAGACUGCCCUAUGGGUUGUAAACCUCUUUUGUCAGGGAGCAACGCCGGCUACGUGUAGCCGGACUGAGAGUACCUGAAGAAAAAGCAUCGGCUAACUCCGUGACAGCAGCCGCGGUACUACGGAGGAUGCGAGCGUUCUCCGGAUUUAUUGGGUUUAAAGGGUGCGUAGGCGGAAUGCCAAGUCAGCGGUAAAAUCGCGGGGCUCAACCUCGCUCCGCCGUUGAAACUGGCGUUCUUGAGUGGGCGAGAAGUAUGCGGAAUGCGUGGUGUAGCGGUGAAAUGCAUAGAUAUCACGCAGAACUCCGAUUGCGAAGGCAGCAUACCGGCGCCCAACUGACGCUGAAGCACGAAAGCGUGGGUAUCGAACAGGAUUAGAUACCCAAGUAGUC
rnacentral:rRNA from 1 species